rnacentral:rRNA from 1 species
UACGUAGGGUGCGAGCGUUCAUCGGAAUUACUGGGCGUAAAGCGUGCGCAGGCGGUUUUGUAAGUCAGAUGUGAAAGCCCCGGGCUUAACCUGGGAAUGGCAUUUGGGACUGCAAGGCUUGAGUGCGGCAGAGGAGACUGGAAUUCCUGGUGUAGCAGUGAAAUGCGUAGAUAUCAGGAGGAAUACCGAUGGCGAAGGCAGGUCUCUGGGCUGACACUGACGCUCAUGCACGAAAGCGUGGGGAGCAAACAGG